rnacentral:rRNA from 1 species
CCCAUCCCGAACCCGGAAGUUAAGCUCUCCAGCGCCGAUGGUAGUUGGCGGGACACCGCCUGCGAGAGUAGGACGUUGCCGGGC